rnacentral:rRNA from 1 species
GACGGAGGAGGCUAGCGUUGUUCGGAAUUACUGGGCGUAAAGCGCGCGCGGGCGGUUAAGCAAGUCAGGGGUGAAAGCCCGGGGCUCAACCUCGGAACGGCCUUUGAGACUGCUUGACUUGAGACCGGAAGAGGAGAGUGGAAUUCCCAGUGUAGAGGUGAAAUUCGUAGAUAUUGGGAAGAACACCAGUGGCGAAGGCGGCUCUCUGGUCCGGUACUGACGCUGAGGCGCGAAAGCGUGGGGAGCAAACAGG